rnacentral:ncRNA from 1 species
ACAAAGGCUGUGAAGGCACAACAGUAAGGACUUAUGUCUUUCAGAGAGAGGGGAUCACCGGCUGCAAGUCCCCUUAAGCUCCGUAAGUAUCCCGAAUUUCCCGCCGGAGCCGCGUGGCUGAACGGAAAGUAGGCUGCGCCGUGCAUACGCGUUAAGUAGAACGAGUGCCUGCCCCCCAGUGUAUACGGGCAGGAAUUAGGGUGGUACCGCGAUGACCUCGUCCCUUCG